AACGAACGCUGGCGGCAUGCCUAACACAUGCAAGUCGAACGAAGGCUUCGGCCUUAGUGGCGCACGGGUGCGUAACGCGUGGGAAUCUGCCCUUGGGUUCGGAAUAACUCAGAGAAAUUUGAGCUAAUACCGGAUGAUGUCGCAAGACCAAAGAUUUAUCGCCCAAGGAUGAGCCCGCGUAGGUUUAGCUUGUUGGUGAGGUAAAAGCUCACCAAGGCGACGAUCCUUAGCUGGUCUGAGAGGAUGAUCAGCCACACUGGGACUGAGACACGGCCCAGACUCCUACGGGAGGCAGCAGUGGGGAAUAUUGGACAAUGGGCGAAAGCCUGAUCCAGCAAUGCCGCGUGAGUGAUGAAGGCCUUAGGGUUGUAAAGCUCUUUUACCUGCUGGCUGUGACGUUACUCGCAGAAGAAGCACCGGCUAACUCCGUGCCAGCCGCCGCCGUAAGAC
rnacentral:rRNA from 1 species